CGGGUAUGAAAUCUUUUGGCCACUCCUGUAUUAUAUAAAUAUGUCUCAAAAAUAUGCAAAAUCAUAAAUAAAAAAUAAUACAUAAUAAAGAUAUUAAGUUGCUGUAAAUCCCCAAGCCUGCAACUUUACCACCAACCUCUGUCUAGACCAGGAAGCUCCCUCCUCAUAACCAUGAAACCCUACACAACAUUGUGAGUAAUAUGUGGUAGAUGUAGUUCGGUUGUAAACUUUGCACUAUAUAAUUAACAGCUGCACUACAACAACCAAAAACUCAACAGGGUUAUUCAUAAAACUCUAAAAUUUGAGCAAAUUAAAGGAACACUAUAGUCACCUAAAUUACUUUAGUUAAAUAAAGCAGUUUUAGUGUAUAGAUCAUUCCCCUGCAAUUUCACUGCUGAAUUCAUUGUCAUUUAGGAGUUAAAUCACUUUGUUUCUGUUUAUGCAGCCCUAGCCACACCUCUCCUGGCUAUGAUUGACA